rnacentral:rRNA from 1 species
UACGUAGGGUGCGAGCGUUAAUCGGAAUUACUGGGCGUAAAGAGCGCGCAGGCGGUCGUUCAAGUCGCGUGUGAAAGCCCCCGGCUCAACUGGGGAGGGUCACGCGAUACUGAUCGACUCGAAGGCAGGAGAGGGUAGUGGAAUUCCCGGUGUAGUGGUGAAAUGCGUAGAGAUGCGGAGGAACACCGAUGGCGAAGGCAGCCCCCUGGGCCAACACUGACGCUCAGGCACGAAAGCGUGGGGAGCAAACAGG